AGCGAACGCUGGCGGCAGGCUUAACACAUGCAAGUCGAGCGGGCACUGCGGUGUCAGCGGCAGACGGGUGAGUAACAGGUGGGAACGUACCCUUCGGUUCGGCAUAACGCUGGGAAACUAGCGCUAAUACCGGAUACGCCCUCUCGGGGAAAGGUUUGCUGCCAGAGGAUCGUCCUGCGUCUGCUCACCUAGUUGGUGGCGUAAGCGCCUACCACGGCGACGAUCAGUAGCGGGCCUGCGAGGAUAGGCCGCCACACUGGGGCUGAGACACGGCCCGGACUCCUACGGGAGGCAGCAGUGCCUAAUAUUGGACUACCGGCGGUAGCCUGAUCCUGCCCUGCCUCGUGAGUGCUUAAGGCCUUAGGGUUGUAAAGCUAUUUUGUCCGGUACGAUAAUGACGGUACCGAAAGAAUAAGCCCCGGCUAACUUCGUG
rnacentral:rRNA from 1 species